rnacentral:lncRNA from 1 species
CGCCUGUCGCUCCUGAUGCUGAUUGGUUCAACCACUGUGUUCAGAACCCAGUGAGCUUGUAGCCUGGCAGUGAAGAUUUGCAAGAUCACGUGAUGAUGCAAAUCCAGCUGCCUCACACAGUGAUGUGACACCAGAUAAAGAACUCAGUACAGAAACUUAAACGAUGUGUUCGAGGUCACAGAAACAUGAAGACAAAACAAGUUAGUAAGAAGUCGAGAAACUGACGGACAGUUCAGCUCCAUCACAACGUUCAUUAACUGUUAAUAAAAGGCGCUGCCAGAAGUCGAUUUAGAACCAGGGACAGAACCAGAGACAGAACCAGAGACAGAACCAGGGACUGAACCAGAGACAGAACCAGGGACAGAACCAGGGACUGACUCGGUGCUGAUGUGUCCUCACGUGUCCACAGAUAAAUCCAAACAGGGAAGGUGUCGGUCCUGCAGCAGGUUUCAUUCAGAGAGCAGCGGCUGAAGGAGAACAUGUCAUCUCUGUGAUCGCGUUACGUAAUCAGCGUCGUCUGCCAACAGAAACAAACCAGCGAGGCUCCACAGAACCUUCACUGAGACGUCCUGAGGAGGUAAAGAACCUACAGACGUCCUGAGGAGGUAAAGAACCUACAGACGUCCUGAGGAGGUAAAGAACCUACAGACGUCCUGAGGAGGUAAAGAACCUACAGACGUCCUGAGGAGGUAAAGAACCUACAGACGUCCUGAGGAGGUAAAGAACCUACAGACGUCCUGAGGAGGUAAAGAACCUACAGACGUCCUGAGGAGGUAAAGAAACUACAGACGUCCUGAGGAGGUAAAGAACCUACAGACGUCCUGAGGAGGUAAAGAACCUACAGACGUCCUGAGGAGGUAAAGAACCUACAGACGUCCUGAGGAUGUAAAGAACCUACAGACGUCCUGAGGAUGUAAAGAACCUACAGACGUCCUGAGGAGGUAAAGAACCUACAGACGUCCUGAGGAGGUAAAGAAACUACAGACGUCCUGAGGAGGUAAAGAACCUACAGACGUCCUGAGGAGGUAAAGAACCUACAGACGUCCUGAGGAGGUAAAGAACCUACAGACGUCCUGAGGAUGUAAAGAACCUACAGACGUCCUGAGGAGGUAAAGAACCUACAGACGUCCUGAGGAUGUAAAGAACCUACAGACGUCCUGAGGAGGUAAAGAACCUACAGACGUCCUGAGGAUGUAAAGAACCUACAGACGUCCUGAGGAUGUAAAGAACCUACAGACGUCCUGAGGAUGUAAAGAACCUACAGACGUCCUGAGGAGGUAAAGAACCUACAGAC